AGACUAUAGGAGGGGCUCCCUAGCACUGCCGGACUCUUUCAUUGACUGCAAGACAACAGGUGAGGUGGCAAACAGCAGAAGUCAACAGGGACCAGAUUCAGUCUUCCACAUAAAACAAGCUUUAAAAGGACAACAUGGACUAAGAAACCGAUGGGGAAGCACUGCACACAGAAACAAUGGAGGAAUAUCAGUGAUGUGGACAAUAAACGAAGUGAGCAGCGAACUCCCCUGGUGAGAAACCGUUCUGGCACAGAACAGAGAAGGGAGACCCGAGCAAGACCUGGAGGUCAACCUGAGACGAAGCCGGGGCCCUGGGGAAACCAAGGCAGCUUCAGUUCAAAGGACAGUACGAAGGACCAGAGAAAUCCACAGAGGUUCAGUGGCUCCUUCCUCGGGCGUUCACCGAACACUGACAGCACGCGACACACAGCUGUGCCAUCCCAGGGAAAAGUCCCGGGAAAAAUGUCAGUGGGAAUAAAGGGGGUGAGGAACAACACCUCUUCCUAUGAGGCCAUAAAGCCUUCAGAGUUGUACAUAAUACCUGGAAAUGGUUUCAUCUUGAUAGGAAGACAAGAUGGGGCCCCCGAGCCUUUCUUGUUUCACCUAGGAAAAUGCAAAACUAAGCCUAGAAAAGAUCAAAUUGUUUACAAGUAACUUCAUUUUAUUUUUUUUUAAGUUUGAGCAUACUUAGGAUACACGCCACACUUGAUAAGGCAAAAAACAUGGAAUGUCAAGUUUUCAAUUAAAAGAUGUCAUGCCAGUAAAA